rnacentral:rRNA from 1 species
CUACGGGUUGCUGCAGUGGGGAAUAUUGCACAAUGGGCGCAAGCCUGAUGCAGCAACGCCGCGUGAGGGAUGAAGGCCUUCGGGUUGUAAACCUCUUUUAGCAGGGAAGAAGCGAAAGUGACGGUACCUGCAGAAAAAGCACCGGCUAACUACGUGCCAGCGGCCGCGGUAAUACGUAGGGUGCAAGCGUUGUCCGGAAUUAUUGGGCGUAAAGAGCUCGUAGGCGGUUUGUCACGUCUGCUGUGAAAAUCCAAGGCUCAACCUUGGACUUGCAGUGGGUACGGGCAGGCUAGAGUGCGGUAGGGGAGAGGGGAAUUCCUGGGGUAGCGGUGGAAUGCGCAGAUAUCAGGAGGAACACCAAUGGCGAAGGCACAUCUCUGGGCCGUAACUGACGCUGAGGAGCGAAAGCGUGGGGAGCGAACAGGAUUAGAUACCCUUGUAGUC